CAAUGAUAUAUGAAUGCAAAAAUGUGGCUUCUCUGAAAACCACGUGGAAUGCUAGAAAGAUUUAAUAAAGGUGAGUCACUAAGAAACAUGCUAUCAGAUUAGGUGUGAGUGAGACAAACGUAAAAUAUUUUUAAAGAAUCAUAAAAACGUAGAAGGUGUCAGCACUCAGGCUGCUUUACCCAUGUCUUUGGGUUAUUGCUUCACUUACAAAAGCAAAACCAGAACUCACAGACAAUGAAUUAUGGGUGUGGUUGAUGCAAGAAAGAUGAAGCAGAGUUCCAACCAGGGGAUCCAUACUAGAAAUGAAGACAGUGGGUCUCCAUCAAAAUAUUGAUGAGUGAAUACAAAUAUACAUGUUUUUAAGAGACGGGGUUUCACCAUGUUAACCAGGUUGGUCUCCAUCUCCUGACCUCGUGAUCCGCCUGCUUCAGCCUCCCGAAGUGCUGGUAUUACAGGCGUGAGCCACUGCACCCAGCCAUCUCAGGAGACAUCAGUUGUGUUUCUGUAACAACAGCACCCCAAACAGUGCUUGUACGGGCCAUAUUGCCAAUCUGUACCUGCAAGGAACAAGGAGUAUAUUGUGUAGCUCAUCAAGAGGAAAAGGACAUUAUAUGUAAAACAAAUAUAAGAAGACUCUGAAAGUUGGAGAAAAGACGUUAGACCAUCUGGAGACCUUGGGAUCUGAGGAACAACAUAGCAUGUCAGUGAAGACCACAUGGGGACAUGGAAGCAGUGACAAGACCCCUCUACCCUCUCUCAGCAGUAAGAGGAGCCCCUCCCCAUCCCAGGUGUCAACAGAGGCUGAGUGGGAACCUGGACUUCUACCCCCACCUGGUAGUAACAAGACAGGCUCCACCCCUUUCUUUGCCAGAGUGGUGUUGGAAGAAGCCAAUAAAAACAAAAGGUGUAAAUGAGACUGAGCGUCUCAUAACGUGAUAUCCAAAAUGUCUAGCUUUCCAUCGAAGAUCAUAUCAAGAGCCAGGAAAAUCUCAACUUGAAUGGAAAAAGACAAUCAAUAGAUCCCAACAUCAAAAUGACAGAGAUGGCAGAAUUAUCUGACAAAUAUUUUAAAGACAGCCAUUAUAUAAAUGUUUGAAAUAAACUAUUACAAACAUACUUGAAACAAACAAAAAAUAGAAAGUCUCAGCAGAAGUAUAGAAGAUAUAAAGAAGAACCAGAUAAAAAUUUUAGAACCGAAAAAUACAAAAGCCGAAACAAAAGACAACAGCAGAAUAAACGAGACAGGAAGAAAAUCAAUGAACUUGAAGAUAGAGCAGCAGAAAUUAAGCAAUAUGAAUAACAGAGAGAAAAUAGACUAAAAAAAUGAAAAGAACCUCAGGGACUUAGGAAACUAUAACAAAAGAUCUAACAUUCCUGUCACUGGAGUCUUGCAAGGAGAGAAGAAAAAGGGCGGGGCUAAGAAAAGGACACAAAGAAAUCAUAGCUAAAAGCUUCCAAAAAAAGUGAUGUAAUCUUAUUGGCAAUUAAGAAUUCAAAUUGAAUAAUAAAAUGACAUUUUUAUCCUUUGCUUCUCUAAUUGGCAAAAAAUAUUUAUGAUUGAUGACAUUGCAUAUUAGUAGGUAUAUGAGAAAUGAGGAUUCUUACAGUUAGUGACAGUUUAAAUUGAUGAUAUGUUUUUCAUUAAGUUUUUCUGAAUUGUCUAUUGCUAUCAAAAUUGUAAAUGUGCACAUUCCCUGAUGCUGAAAUUACACUUCCAGAAAUAAAUCUAUCCCAUGAAAUAGCCACAUAUGUUCAGAAAUCAUAUAAACUAUAUAAAGAAUAUUUAUUGCAAUAUCAUGUGUAAUCAUGGAAAAUUACAAAUAAAAACAUCCAUUAAAACAGAAAUAGUUAAUGAAUUGUGACUUAUUUGUACUAUAGAUGUGACAGAGUUGUUUAAUAAAUGUAUGAGAUUGACUUACACAAUUUGAUAUGGAAAUAACUCUAAGUUUUAAAAUGCUAGUAAAGGAACACUAUGUAUAAUAUGGUCCCAAACACAAGUACACCAAGAAAGGUGUAUGUUUGUGAAUACAAUGCAUAGAAAGUGGACAUAGAGAUAAGACAUUUUAAGAGUAUCCCCAGCUCCAAGCUGUGUUUGCUUGAGCCUUUGAAUAAACUGAAAAAAACAGAAAAUGUCACUGUUAAAGAAUGGUGUGGAAGGACUGAUAGAGAUUAUGAGGUGAUCAAAAUCUCCCUAAAGCAAAGGUUGACAGUUAAUUGAGUUUGACAGAGGUGGGUGACAAAGGGAAAUGUUCACACUUCGUUCUCCACUCUUUUAUGUCUUUGGCUCAUGUCCA
rnacentral:lncRNA from 1 species